GGUUAUGGCUCAGCGGUAGAGCGCUUGCCUCCCAUAUGCAAGGCCCUAGGUUCGAUCCUCAGCACCA
rnacentral:tRNA from 1 species